UGUUACGGUCAUGUAGGCGUCUUAUUAAGUCAGAUGUGAAAUCCCUUAGCUCAACCAAGGAACUGCAUUUGAUACUGGUAAGAUUGAGUACGGGAGAGGAAAGCGGAAUUCCGGAAGUAAGGGUGAAAUCUGUAGAUAUCCGGAAGAACACCAUUAGCGAAGGCGGCUUUCUGGUCCGAUACUGACGCUGAAAUGAGAAAGCUAGGGUAGCGAACAGGAUUAGAUACCCUGGCAGUCCUAGCUGUAAACGAUGGGCACUAGGUGCAGGCUCGAAAGGGGCUGUGUCGCAGCUAACGCGUUAAGUGCCCCACCUGGGGACUACGGCCGCAAGGCUAAAACUCAAAGGAAUUGACGGGGACCCGCACAAGCGGUGGAGCAUGUGGUUUAAUUCGAUGCUACGCGAGGAACCUUACCUGGGCUUGACAUGUAGGUAGUAGGAACCUGAAAGGGGGACAACCUGUUUUAGUCAGGAGCCUACACAGGUGCUGCGUGGCUGUCGUCAGCUCGUGUCGUGAGAUGUUGGGUUAAGUCCCGCAACGAGCGCAACCAUCGUCCCUUGUUGCUAAUCCACUUAGGUGGAUGCACUCUAUGGAGACUGCCAGUGUUUAACUGGAGGAAGGAGGAGAUGACGUCAA
rnacentral:rRNA from 1 species